rnacentral:piRNA from 1 species
UAGAAAAUGAAUGUCAACAGAGAUGGC